UACGAAGGGGGCUAGCGUUGUUCGGAAUUACUGGGCGUAAAGCGCACGUAGGCGGAUCGUUAAGUCAGGGGUGAAAUCCCAGAGCUCAACUCUGGAACUGCCUUUGAUACUGGCGACCUAGAGUUCGGAAGAGGUUAGUGGAAUUCCCAGUGUAGAGGUGAAAUUCGUAGAUAUUGGGAAGAACACCAGUGGCGAAGGCGGCUAACUGGUCCGAUACUGACGCUGAGGUGCGAAAGCGUGGGGAGCAAACAGG
rnacentral:rRNA from 1 species